rnacentral:lncRNA from 10 species
UGUUUUUAAUUUCUUACGCUAUAAACAUGACUUAACAGGGUUUUCCCUUUUCUCUGAAUUUCAGUAACAAUGAAGCUAAUUCGAAGGAACGAACAUAGUGAGAAUCCCAGCAGUAUAUAAAAUUACCAUAUUAGAAUCCUGAAAGUAACAGAAUAUUAGAGUAUAUUCAGCAAAUAAUUCUUCAGACAAAGUGUUAACUUACAAGGCAGACAGUUACCAGAAGUCCAGCUGAACUUUGGUGACAUAAACUUGUAAGGUUUGUGGAGCACAUUACCAUGACUUUGUUUUCAAGAGGUGAGAGCAGUCUAGAGGGGCUAGCAUUUUCUGAGCUGGAAAAUGAGUCACAGUUCUGGUCUAUGGCCCUCAUUUUACAGGUAGAAAAAGUGAGGCCUAGAGAAUUUUUCUUCAAAUUUACAUUUAGAAAGUUCAAAAUUGUGUCAUGUAGAAAAUUAUUUGGCAGCAAAUAAAAGAAAAACCAGCAAACAACGGUGUAGAGAUAUGUUUAUGUCAAGUAAUAAAAUGUCUAGGACUGGAAUAGUGAAUCAAGACACCAACAAGCAACAGGCAAUUUUCAUUUUUCUCAACAUUCUCAGAGUUGUAAACUCACAUCUCAACCAAGCUGCUGCUCCAAGCAUCUGGUCGGUCCAAGUAGAAAGAACAGUGGGAAGAAAAGGGGAAGAACCAAUAACAAAGAAGCAAAACUUUUUUAGAAAUCUUGAACUAAUGUCUCGUAGGCCAGAACUGUGUCACCGGACUAUCCCUUGAUGCAACAGUGUUGGAGAAAGUAAAUAUUUUUAACCAGGUGCCUUGCCACAUCCCAGCUAAAUUAGGGUUCUCAUAGUGAAAGUCAGCAUAGGUAUUUGUUGAACGUUCAGCAGUAUCUGAUUCCCAAGUGAACAGAGUUUUGGGAUUUUCUUCUUCCUUAAGGCAUUUAAAUGAACCACAGACUAUUCAUAUUUGUCAAGGAGUUAAAAAUAUUAACAUUCUGUAGACAUUUUUGCCAAUUAAAAAUGCAUAUAUUAGGUAAUACGGGCUGGAUAGAACCAGUCAGAUAUUAUUAACUGUUCUGUGCUGUUUUUCAUAGGAUUAUUUGGUGAAGUUUUAAAAGGUAUCCUUUACAAACACAAGACCAAAAUUCUAGUUCAUUAUUCAAUAAAUAUGUAGGAAUACCUAUGACAUGCUAAACAUUGUUUAAGUGCUGCUGAUUCUAGGUAUUAAUAAGAAGUGAGAGUCCUUAAACUCAUGGGUGUAUAUUUUAGUGUUUGAAGGCAGUCAAAUACAUGUAAACUAAUAAAGUAAUGAAAUCAUUUCUGAUAAUGAUAAGUUUCUGGAAGGAAAUAAAAUGGUAAUAUUGCAAAAGGUAGCGUCUCCUUUUUAUCAAAGCUGUGUGACAUUGGGCAAGUCCCUUAACCACUCUAGAACUGAGUUUUCUGCUCGGUAAAACGUGGAGAAUUAUAUAAUAGAAGAUCAGAGAAUCUUGUCAGGGCCCCUCUGACUCUAAGAUCUGUUUCUCCUUUCUAAUUUUCUUUCAAGAACUGCAGGCAAGUUGUAAAGGAAAAAAGAAGAGAUGAGAAUAGACAGAAAGCAGCAGUAUUAUGAGAAUAUGGGCUCAGAAGAGAAAUGAUAUCUGUGUGCUUGUAUGACAGCCAACGGAAUAAAAUUGCUUGAGUUAGAAAUGCAUGAACACACAUAUGCAUAUGUAUGUACGUAUGUAUAUAUGCAUGUAUGUAUGUAAUAAAAUGAGCAUUGUAACC